CAGUAGCCGCGGGAAAACGUAGGUGGCAAGCGUUGUCCGGAAUUAUUGGGCGUAAAGGGCUCGCAGGCGGUUUCUUAAGUCUGAUGUGAAAGCCCCCGGCUCAACCGGGGAGGGUCAUUGGAAACUGGUUGACUUGAGUGCAGAAGAGGAGAGUGGAAUUCCAUGUGUAGCGGUGAAAUGCGUAGAUAUAUGGAGGAACACCAGUGGCGAAGGCGACUCUCUGGUCUGUAACUGACGCUGAGGCUCGAAAGCGUGGGUAGCAAACAGGAUUAGAUACCCCAGUAGUCCCUGUCUCUUAUAA
rnacentral:rRNA from 1 species